GCGGCCACAAAGGGCUCCUUCUGAUUGGCUGAGAGUGCCAACACGCGCGCAGGAGGGAGGAACCCCGGCCAAGAAGGACGGACACACACACACUUAGUUACUUUUCGGACCCAAAAAACUUUUCAGCACAGAGUCAGUGUGGCUUAGUCAGACCGGGAAUCCGCUGUCUCUCAGUGACUCGAUGACAUUUCUUAAAUCAGACAUUAAGGAUGUACGACGCUGCUUCAGCCUACAGUAAAGGGAAGCCAGCAAAACAUGGAGAGUUAUAACCCACUCCACAAGUUCACUGCCACUGCUGCGAAGUCAAGAGUGAGCCACCGGACGGCACUGUUUCUUAAUCAGCUCAACAUUUCUCUUUUUUUUUCUUUCUUUUUUUUUUUUUUUAGUAUAAAGGGUUUGCAUGGACCUUUAUUAUAUUUCUGCUUUCUACAAAAGUUCAUUUAUAAAUCAGGUAGCCAAGCUCUCACUAAGACAGUUUUAGUUUGGAUGACGUUUACAUUAUAAAACAUAAACAUACAAAACAUCUGUAAAGGUUUCUUGUCUUCAAGGUUUUCUGAAUACACACGGUCUCAGAGAAAAAGGUACCGAACUGUACUUUUCCUUGUUGCGGAUGGUACUAUCAACAGUAAAUGUUUUUUUUAUUUUUUUAUUUUGAUGGUUCACCCCAGGGACAAGAAAAAUUACAGUUUGGUACCGUUAUUUCUGAGGCCAAGGUGACCUCUGUAAAAUAUUUAAACCAUCAUUCAAGGAGCUUCAUAUGGUCAGUUGGAUGGACAUAAAUGUAAAUGUAAUUUUAAAACUUGAUCUUCAGAAAUAAUUCAUUGCUAUAUGGGGUGCUUGAUAAAGCUACUACAGGAAGUAUACAAUCAACACCUAAAGAAGCAUACAACUGUCUCUCUGUCUGUAUAUUCUCAUAUCCAAGUGAUUUUUUUGGCUUUACGUCCACAUUGAAAUACUCCUUACAGCUUCAGACACAGCCCACAGUUUAUAGCUCAAUAUAUCUGCCAGAUUCAUGCAGAAGCCUUUAUCAAGAUUUACAACAAUAGUGUCCUAUAAGGAUUCAAUCUGUUAAAGAGAACCCCAUCUGUAUAUAAAAUAUAUGCCUCAUUCUGUCAGCCAAAGCAUAACAUUCUUUGUCUUACAUCUCGCAUUAUCCAUAUCAAUCAGAAAAAUAUGUCAAGAUCUGCUACUGAAGUAAAAGAUAACAUACAUUUCUAUACUUUAUAGACACAUGUCAUGCUGUAUAUUCUUAAAGACUCUUUACAGGUUCUUUGAAUGUUUAAUAGUUCUAGCGUUCUGACAGUGUUCUAGUUGGGAACCCGAGUAGGGUGCUAGAAGGUAUCUCACUUAACUUACUAAUAGAUAAAAUACUGUAUUUAACUAACAUACUAUAUAGAUAAAGCACAUAAGCAUAACUUACUAUAUUACACUAAUACAUAGAUCCAACAUCAUAAUAUAUGAAAAAAAAAACCCUUUUAGUUCAGAC